rnacentral:rRNA from 1 species
UACGUAGGGGGCUAGCGUUAUCCGGAAUUAUUGGGCGUAAAGGGCGCGCAGGCGGCCAUGUAAGUCUCGUGUUUAAUCUCGGAGCUCAACUCCGGUCCGCACGAGAAACUGGAUGGCUUGAGUACAAAAGAGGAGAGCGGAAUUCCACGUGUAGCGGUGAAAUGCGUAGAGAUGUGGAGGAACACCAGUGGCGAAGGCGGCUCUCUGGUUUGUAACUGACGCUGAGGCGCGAAAGCGUGGGUAGCGAACAGGAUUAGAUACCCCUGUA